AAAAAAUAUUUGGCUUAUUCAAGUCAUGAAGAGGCGUUAGCCAAUGGGUGUGUCUUGCUGGACCCCUUGGUGUGGGUUAAGUUAUGCGGGAGGUGGGGAAGCCACGUAUUCAAGAAGGUUUCAAUGUAAAAUACAGAGAAUAGAAAGAGGCUGACAACUAAUCACACAGCUGGAAGAAAAUCGUUUGUGAGAAUACUAGAGGAGCAGUCACCUACAAGCAACCUAGUGGAGUUUUACAAGGAAGUUUGUUGGUCUAAGAAGAAGGACCAGUUUGUGUCGCCCACAACAGAAGAACUUUAUGUGAGCAAUUUCCUUGGGGCUUGCUUUGUAUUCAUUUUUCUAGUCAAUUUCUUUGAAUUAUUUGUUUCAAUUUAUAUUUCAGUUAAUUAAGUACAUUGGCUUACAAGUCAUGUAAAAUUUGUUGGUGUAGCACAAAAUAGUUGGAAAGUUGUCUGAUUUGGAACCCGAAGUUCGUACAACAAAGGCAACAGAAGGGGUUUUUAGAGAUGUUUUGGGACAUAAGUAUGGGUAUGCUAAAGGUUUAGGAGAGAUGAU